rnacentral:rRNA from 1 species
UACGUAGGUGACAAGCGUUGUCCGGAUUUACUGGGCGUAAAGAGCGCGCAGGCGGUCGAUCAAGUCGAGUGUGAAAGCCCCCGGCUCAACUGGGAGGGUCAUUCGAUACUGAUCGACUCGAAGGCAGGAGAGGGUAGUGGAAUUCCCGGUGUAGUGGUGAAAUGCGUAGAUAUCGGAGGAACACCGGUGCGAAGGCGGCCACCUGG